UGAUUUUGGCAGAACGCUGUUGUAGUUACCCAUCAGAUUACUACUGCUACGUUAAUGAAUACUGCCAACGGCGGAAUGUGUUCACGUUUGCAGUGUCCGAGCGUCCUGGACGAUCAGAUCGUGAAUGUUAAUGUGACGAAAUGGCUAAGCGAGAAAGCCCACUAAAAAUUAAAAUGGAACCCAGUUACGAAGCAGUUUGUUAAAACACGUACCGCACUCAGACCAGGGCUAAUGCAAUGACUGGCUCCGGACUUACUCCUGAAUCCUUCGUUUAUCCAGCUGGAACGGGCUCUGAUUACAACAAACGUGUAUCACGCACAUCCAUUGUAGAGCUCAGCGCACUUCAUUAUUGGCCAGGCCGAAGCGGACAGGCGAUAUACCCUGUUAGCAGUCCUUUUUAUGACCUUUCAAUAAGGCCCAGACGUAUAUUUCUGUGCGACCAAAGGAUCAUCUUUGCAGUUGUCAGUGAGUAUAAAACAACCGUUUUCAUAAUUGCAAUCAUCUGCGUGUAUUUUCUGUUCACGUUGCCGACUCAAGGGGUGCUUUUAUUUACCUGACCUCCCGCAAAAAAUGCGCCUUUUAACAGGACCGAGAGAAAUACAGAGGUGCUUCAGAGGGCCAUCUACACAGCUUGGUACUACGAUGUCAGAUGAAUGAAGCUUGCUCCUUUCGUCCUACUGAUGGCGAACUGGCCCUCUAGGAUUCUGUAGUCCAAUUACUGAUGUUUCCUUUAACAUUUCUCGAUUCAGAUCAAACCUUGUUAAUUUCUUAGUGUUUUCAUUUUCUUUUUUAAGACUAUUUUCACAAUGUAAACAAAUUAUAGUAAUUACCUCUUCGGUAAAAGAUCGACCAAACCUUAUUUAAGAUAGUAUUCCUAUUAGCCACAAAGGCAUCCAUUGUGUAGGCAGUGCAUAUGUUCGCCGUAUCAAACCACUAUUGUAGAACCUGCAGAAAAUGGAGCCACGUGUUUUACUAAAUAACUGAAGUUACUGCUGUAACCUAUUGGGACGACAAAUCUGAGCUGGCAUUUGUUAUCCACUAUUUCAUACGGUUAUUAAUGUUGAUCUAUUCCUCUGCUACGACGAGACAGAGAGGGAACGGAUUUUCAUUAUAUAUAUGUGGAACUCAAUCUAUUUCAACUGCCGAUACUGCUUUAGUUAGUCAUUGCUUUAGAUGACUGGGUUGAAAAAAUGUACAUAUACGUCCGGUUUUGAAUCUCACGUGUCCCUAAAUGUGCUUAGUAAACGCGUUAUCUUUGAACUAUCACAUGGACUAAAGGAUUAAGCUUAGCAGUUACCAGCUGGGACCUGUCCCAAAUUCGAAACGAUUCCUAAUCAUGCAGUUUGACCAACGGUAAUGUAAUUUUAGUUGUUUUUUUGUAGUACAUGCCCUAUUUUAUGCUGAGUCAAGAACAGUUAACAUUCAUCGAUUCAUUUUCAUGGCUACAAAAAGGUCUUCUAUGCACUUCCUGUUUAUGUGCUCGCUUGAAGUUUGCUUUACUAGCGAUGUUGAAUGGAGCCAUACAUCAGGAUCGGAUGACGCAUUAUAGUUGUACUUGUAACCGAAAAUGAAAUCUAGUGUACAAGCGGCAUCCGGUACUUUUCAGCUCCUAUUUCUGUAUAGAUAAAACACUCGAAUCUUUUUCUGACUUU